UACGAAGGGGGCUAGCGUUGUUCGGAAUGACUGGGCGUAAAGCGCGUGUAGGCGGGCUUUUAAGUCAGGGGUGAAAUGCCAAGGCUCAACCUUGGAACUGCCUUUGAUACUGGAAGUCUUGAGUCCGGGAGAGGUGAGUGGAACUGCGAGUGUAGAGGUGAAAUUCGUAGAUAUUCGCAAGAACACCAGUGGCGAAGGCGGCUCACUGGCCCGGAACUGACGCUGAGACGCGAAAGCGUGGGGAGCAAACAGG
rnacentral:rRNA from 1 species